rnacentral:rRNA from 1 species
UACGUAGGGGGCGAGCGUUGUCCGGAAUCAUUGGGCGUAAAGAGCGUGUAGGCGGCUUGGCAAGUCUGACGUGAAAGCCCGCGGCUCAACCGCGGAUUGUCGUUGGAAACUGCCUCGCUAGAGUCCGGAAGAGGAGAGCGGAAUUCCUGGUGUAGCGGUGGAAUGCGCAGAUAUCAGGAAGAACACCUAUGGCGAAGGCAGCUCUCUGGGACGGUACUGACGCUGAGACGCGAAAGCGUGGGGAGCGAACAGG